rnacentral:lncRNA from 1 species
UUUUUUCUUUUUUAUUUUUUCUUCUUUUCAACUGAUGUAUGUCAGGCCAGUAUAAAAGGGGCGAGUUGAACAUCUGGACCCAAACCAAAGCAUUUAACAUUUCCAAGCAAUUCAGAGGCACAGAUGAUUUAUGAUGCUAUUCUUAGAUUUUUAUCAUGUGUCCUCUCACUUUAUGAAAUGUGGGCAGGAACAUAAACCUGGUGACACUUCAUGACAUAAAAACAGUGAUUGAAGACUGAUAAGAAAGAAAAGAAGAAUCAUUUUGGUUUGGAGAUGUUCAGAACAGGGCAGGCUCCUGGGAAGAUGAGUUGAAUUUUGCUCUAGCGGCAGUGCCUCUAGCAAUUGAAGGAACUCUAUGUUUAGGCAAUCCCUGGCCUCCUCUAUCUCUAGAAAAAGCAGAAUAGGAUCUGUAACUUAACUGAUGUACCUGUGUGGCUUUUUUUGCUAGAAAAGCUGAGGCAGUCAUAUUAUUGAGUAUUGAAAGGCCCUGGAGAUAAUAAGACCAUCAUAAUAUAUUUUCUGUCUUCAAAUGACCCAUCUCCUUCUGCACUAGGGAGGGAGGAACGGGGGCAGGGGGUGGGCAUAAAAAGAAGGCUGUAAAAGAAAAGAAAUGAAGGGAAAAGGUAAGAUGACUGUGACAUACGAACCAAAAUAGAAACAUCAUGGCAUACUGGCAAAGCUGAAGUUUGUUUAUAAAUCACUUCUCUAAAUGAUAUCCCUCUGCAACACAAAAUAAUGCUUCAGAAAAUACCUGUGGGUAGCAAUUUGUAUUUAAUGGAAAAGACAUGGAAUAUAUUUAGAAACACUAGAAACCAUCUAUUGUCACCAACUUGUUGAUUAAUUUCAAAAUCAUUACUCAAUUUCAUAAAACCUCUUUGGACUAAAGCAGAUUUGCACAAUAACCUUUUAAGACAUCACAUUAUAUGUAUAUUGUCAGAUGAACUUUCCAAUUUUUAAAAUAUAUCACUCAAUGUAACAAUAUCAAAUCAUUGAAUUAGCUAAAAUAAGUAACAAAUUAUGGUAUAAAAUGCUAAAUUAUAUCUAAAUAUAGACAGAGCAUUUUGGAAAAGUCAUUAAUCUUUUUCUCAUUUAUUUUACCAAUAUUUCAACCAGUGAUACUGGAUUAGUAUCUCAGGGCAUGAUAAAUGUGAUCUUUCUUUCAUUUAAUCAUUAAAUAAAAAUUUAAACAUGCAUUUAUAUUUUCUGAUAGUAUUUAUGAUAGUUUUGGCAUUUAAGACUUUUUAAUUUCCUCAUGGUCAAUCAUGUAUAAUGACUAACAUAAAUAUUUCAUUGCUUCUAAUAAUUAUUUCUUAAUAGAAUCAUAGUCUUGUUUUUUCAGAUAAGUCUUGCCACUUUAGAAUUGUCCAUCAAGAACAUAUGAUGUUCUACUUUACACAUAGAUACGAGACAAGUGAGCAACAGUUCUGGAGAUUCCUAGUUACGUGAUAUUACAACAGAUUCGUAAGUACCUACUCUGAAUACGACUGCAUAGAUACAGAUUGUUUACGAACAACAGUAUGAAACAGGCAACGUUUUAAAGUCAAGCUCUUUAUAUAUAUAGCUGUGGGACAUCACAGGAAAUGAACAACCCUUCUUUCUAGAUAUGAGAAUUGAGAUGCACAGCUGCCUGCAUUAACUGAAGCUCUGUCUUGGGGCUAGGAUUGGGUUAUCCUGGACUUCCCUCAUAGGCCAAUUUAUUCCAUGAUUUAUGGGCAGGAGGUUGUAAAUAAAUGUCAAUGUCCACCUUCCACCUGAGAAGCCCAUUUUCCGUUGCUGAAUUAGAAGGCAUGCACUUACAAAAAAAGAAAAAAACUUUCCUUUAAGGGUCCUAAAAAAGAGCUGCUUAAUUAUUCGUGCCACACAUCCUACAGAAUAAAGUUCUCCUAAUCAUAGCAGAGAAAUCAUUAUUAUUGAUUGAAAUGUCAUUUCAGUCAGAGAUCAGGAACCCCAAAAAAGAUCAUUUUUGCUUCCCAAAUUAACCAUAAAAAGUUUAAACUGUAAGUGAAAUGCCAUUCUAUGCUGUUGCAAUGAAUUUCCAAUAAUAGUAUCUACUUUAUUUUGGUUCAAAAACACUGCCUUAAUUAGGCUGACCUUUCAAGAGCUUUUCUAGAACUGAAAUUCUUUAAAAUGCUUCCGCAUACUAUAUUCACAAGCAAUCUAUCUGUCCAAAUAUAAUUAUAAAAGCUUUAAAAUCACAACUUAGUAUUUGUUUUAGACACCAAAUAUUAUUUUUGUCAUUUCUUCUGCCAAACAUCAAAGUCCCAUUCUGAAGCUAUUAACAGACUUAAAAAUUUUAAUACACACUUGUACCAGAUGAGUAUUUGCCAAAUAUUAAAAACUUUUUUUUUUGGCUGGGGGUAGCGGGCCAGGGAUGUGGAUAAAACCAAAAAAUGAAACAUUGUUUCAAGAAAUCAAGCAAUAUCUAAGUAAUGUAUCCACUUUGAAGAGUGCUUUGCUUAUAAUCAUGAUACCCAUAUUUGUCUAAUUCUUACCUUGACUUUCAGUGUUUAAAAAACACUUCUAUGUAUUUUAUUCCAUUGGAAAAUUGCAAUAUUCCUGGGAAGUACAGAACAGUUUUCUAUUUAAGAGAUGAAGAAAUAGUUUCAGACAGAGUAAUCAUGUCAUUCCUCUCUAGGUCUUUAACGAGCUACUACUCUCAGAGAGUAAGAUUCUCCUCAAGCCAUGUUGGGUCUAAGUCACAGCUUUUCUGACAUUCAAUAGGAACAACAUUGCUUCCUACAUUUGUCAUUACUAAAUGAACCUUUGAGAUUAAUUCCUCUAAAACCUCAGUGCUCCUCCUUACCUUAUAAAAUUGGAGGGUGGGGUGGAAGAAGACUAAAACUGAAGUGAUUUUUUCCAAGGUCAAACAAUUUACUAGAGCCCACCUAACAUGUGACCCUACAUCUUCUAACUCCUGUUCAAUUGCACUAUCAUCUCCUUCCUGUUUCUCCUUUUCCAGAACUAGACAGAGAUAAAAACAUUUCAAGUCAAGCUCUGAAAGCCAGCUAGCCAGCCCUGAAAGAUAAUGAAAGUGUCUUCAGAAAUGUUUGCCUUUUUAAAUUCAUGUUUUUCAGAAAACACUAAGGCUUGGAACCUGGUGUCAAAUAACAGCAAUGCCCCUGGAUUUAGAGUUUUUGAAGAAUGGGUACACUUCCUCCAUGGACCUUUUAGCAUUGCAUGUGUCACAUCCUCUGCUGACCAAGGAAGAAUGUACAAAUUAGCCAUAUAGUUUGUUGCCCUUUGGAUCCAGUAAUCUAUCACAUAUUUCCAGCCACAAUGUUCAUUGGACUUUUAGUUGAUCAAUCACAUAAAACCACUAUUUUCAAAACACUUCACAAAAUUAUCAAAUUUCUAUGCAUUCAGCAAACACUGAAAACCAUUUAUAUCCCCUUCACAUUAUGGCUUUAGUUUUUUACAUGUUAAGCCUCUAAAGCAUAUGUUCUCAACAAAAUUAAUAAAUAGAUAAGGCUACUACAAGUGCUUGUCACCUCUCCAACCCCCAACCAGGGUUCCCAAAAGAUUAUUUUGGGAAGGAUAACAUUUAUGCACCUUUACUAACACUUAGUGAGAAACAUAAACCCGUAUUAUCAGAGCCUGCUUCACCACUUCUACAAAAAACAUGACAACUGUUUAUUUAAAUGAGAUGAAAUUCUUAUCUAAGCCAAAUUGCACAAACAUAAUCAGAUCUGGUUUUAAACCCUCCAUUGAAAAUACAGGUAUUUGUAUGCUUCCAGGACUCGGCCAACUGCUGUAUUAUCAAUGUUAAAAUUGCAUGCAGUUGAUUAUUUAGCUUAUUUCCCAAUCACCACCUUUCAAAGGAAAUUAUUUAAUAGAAAUCAGCAUCACAUGAGUUUUGAGCUUCUGUGAGAAUUAAAGGGAAAUUUUUAACAGCUAUGUGAAUAUCAAAAUCCUUCCAAGCUUUUUUCUUGGUCAAUUUAUUCAUUCAAAAAUACAUAUUACAUUACUAUUACAAGCAACAUACUGGGGAUACAAUCUAAGCAUAAAAAGCAAACAACAUACCAGGUUCCCUAUCUUCAUGCAUUUUAGUCUAAUGGGAGAGCAAAUAUUAGAUAAUAAUGAAAUAAACACAAACAUAUUCAUUCAUUCAAUAUUUAUUCUGUAUCAAAUAUUUAUUUAGAGCCUACUAUGUACAAAGCACUAUUCCAGACAUUUGAGUUAUAUUGGUCACCAGGCAAAAUCAUCCUCCUCUUUGUAUUUAUAUUCUAGGAUGCAGAGACCCACCCAAUGUUAAGUACUGGAGAAAAGGAGGAAAAAAGACAAAAUGGAGAAAGACAAAAGGGAUAGAAAGCAUUGGAUUUGGGGGUUUGAAAUUUUUUAAAGGAUGUCAAAGACAAGUUUUAUUAAAAGGUGACAUGUGAGUUGACUUACAAAGUAAUAAAUUCCUUGGGUAAACAUUACAAAACAAAGGCUUGCAAGCCAUGAAGAGGAUGCUGGUCUUUAUGCCAAGGGCAAUAGCAGACUUGAUAAGAUUAAUGGUGAGAUAUUUUGUUACAUUAGGAAGGAGUAGAAAGGACUAGAAGGAAGAAACUCAGGUAUCUAACCAUUUUUCCCAAAUGUGGUAUCCAAGAUAUGGAAGAGAUCAGAAACUACUCCACACAUUCUCUCAUAUCUGCCCCUAAAUUACACCCGCAGAAGAUGGAUUUGAAAUCUUACUGGAUACAAAUGUAAAUCAUGAAAUCACCAAGUAAUGCAAUAACUUUCCCUAGGCCUUAGCUUGUUGCUUUUAAAUAAGGUUUUUCAGGUGCAGCCUGACCUCACUUUUGCUAGGAAAGCUGGGUCUCACAAAUGCCUGCCUCUUCUUCACAGAAAGAAGCAAAUGUGUUAUCCAGCAAAUAAUUUGAAAAACUAGGGUAAUAUAGCCAUCUCCUGAUUGAGAAACAGUGGGAUAAACCUCCAGAAUUCUAUGACUCUUUGAAUCCAUGAUAAAAACACAUUGUCAAAAAAAGAAAAAAAAAAAAAAAAC